rnacentral:rRNA from 1 species
UACGGAGGGGGCUAGCGUUGUUCGGAAUUACUGGGCGUAAAGCGCACGUAGGCCGCUUUGUAAGUUAGAGGUGAAAGCCCGGGGCUCAACUCCGGAAUUGCCUUUAAGACUGCAUCGCUAGAAUUGUGGAGAGGUAAGUGGAAUUCCGAGUGUAGAGGUGAAAUUCGUAGAUAUUCGGAAGAACACCAGUGGCGAAGGCGACUUACUGGACACAUAUUGACGCUGAGGUGCGAAAGCGUGGGGAGCAAACAGG